rnacentral:lncRNA from 1 species
GAAAGAGCGUCCAAGAGAGGCCGUGCCUGCCACGCGUGAUGAUGAUGAAGGGCGGAGCAGCACAGAGGUCAGAGUGGUGGUGGGUUGGGGAGGUCCUGCAGGUGCCAGGUGGCCACAGGUGGGACACCUCCAGGCUCAGUUUCCUGCCAAGGGAAGCCUGAAGCAGGGGAGGCUGUCCCCACCUUCCCUGCCUCCUGUGCAGGCCUCCUGGGCACCCUAAAUCUCUGCGGCUCCUCAAGGCCCCCACAUCCCUCUCCUCUCCUGAGCCUCCCCAGGAUUAGAUAAGGCUGGCAAACUGUGCCCCCUUCCUGUGGUUUUCUCCCACCAGGACGUCCCAAGCUGGAAGACUCCCGCCCCUCUGUGCCACGGCUGGUGGCUUCACCCUUGACCCGGGGGAGAUGGCUGGAUGUGAUCUGCCCAGAGCUUCCCAGAGGCUGGCCAAGAAGGCACAAGGAAAGGACUCCUUCUUCUGGCCUGGUGUGGAGAGCAGAACGUCCUGGAGAGGCGUUUGCCAGGCCAGAGCCAGCUGAAGCUUUUGAAGAAAGGGCCACCUUCCCUCCCUGCGCCAAGGCCUGAUCGGACUGGGAGAUAAACUGCACUGGCAGCUGUCCUGGCAGAGCUCUGAAUCACUGCUGUGCAAACAUGACCCUCCUUCACUGCGACUGCCAGCUUUGUUAUCUAGAAUGCAAACACAAUGCAACCAUCCUUAGCUCCAGAUUAACAACAACAAAAACAUCCCUGGAGAAGCCGCUUUCCAAGAUGACUGAAAGCCCAGUGUGGAUUUUAGCCAAAACAGACAGAGGACCCCCGCUCCUGCCUGGGCUGCCUGCACCCACAUUCUGAAAUGGGGACAAUGCCAGGAGGCGGACAGGGUGGGAUGCAAGGUGGAAAAGAGCUGGAAUGUGCCAGGGACCUGACUUGCCAGCUACGCCAGCUCUUUCUGCCCCUGGCCGCCUGGGCCCCCUCCUGAGGACAGCAAACAGCUUCCUGCUCUCUCGGUCUGGUAGGCAGCAAGGCUGGCACCCUUGUGUGCUCAGGGCCAAGCAUGAGUGUGGGCAGCUGGUUAGAGUCCAGGUCAGAGGUGGUCUGGGCCUCCCUUCUGCUGGCCCAUGCCUUGAAACUAUCUGCAGGAUGAAGGCAAGACAAGAAAGGGUGUAGACAGUGAGCACCCUGAUGGCCUGCGUGCAGCUCCUUCUUGCCCUGAACCAUGGCUGCAGAGGGUGGCACCUUCUGUCUGUUUGAUGAGUCUUGGACAUAGGUGGAUGUGGAUAUGGGACCAUCCUGUGUCCCCUCCAGCCAUAUGGUAGCGAACAUUGAUUAAGCACUUACUAUGUGCUGGUCAUCCUGCUGUGAGUGCUGCAUGUCUGAUUCAUUUGCUCCUUCCUAUAAGUAGGAACUGUUACUGCCCCCAUUUGACAGAGGUGGAAACGGAGGCACAGAGAGGAAACUAUCGUUCUCAAGGCUAUGCAGUGUCGUGACCGCAGUGGGAUUUGAACUGAGACUUUUUGACUGCAGAGUUUGCUGUUUGCUGCCUCUCACAUUGGCGGUGCUUGCAGUGUGGAAGGAGCGUCACUGGGGCAAGACCAGCCCCUCGCCGCCUCUGCGCAUCUUGAACUCUCUGUCUCCAUGGGCAUCGGGAAUUGACUCAUUUAUUAGUUUAUUCAUUCACUGGUUUCUUCCUUCAACUCCUAUUCUGUGCCAUAUGCAUCGCUCAGCACUGGGGGGUCGGAGGGGACAAAGAUGUACAGGGCGCAGACCCCUCUCCGGCAGCUCCAGCCUCUCCAGGCCAGGCCUUCCUCACUCUCCAGCUGAGGACUCCAGGGAGGCCUGUGGUCUGAGUGGAGAGAGAAAGGGGACGGCCUGGUGAAGCAGGGCAUGAGAAGGACGGACAAGGCAGUCAUCACAGGGAAGGAGCCGGGCCAGGCACGCCUGCAGGGCCCAGAGAGGACGCAGACAUCACAGGGAAGGGGCCGGGCCAGGCACGCCUGCAGGGCCCAGAGAGGACGCAGCUGCAGAAACGCAGGUGGGAGGCAGCCAGGCCGUGGCUGUGGCCUGGAGAGAGAAGCUAAGCCCAUGAGGCCCAACGCGGAGGGGCCAAGAUCAGCUCUGGGUGAUGCGAUCCAAGGACGGGGAGAGGCUUAGUCAGGAGGGGAGUUUACCCAGGGCUGGAGGGCACAGGAGAGAAUGGAGGAUAGAUAACGGCUGGUGACUCAGAGCCUAUGGUCCAAACCUGCACAGUGCCACUUGGAUGACACCAGAGAAGAUCAAGGUUAGGGCUGGGGUUGGGCAGAACUGGAGCAGAAACAACUGAGCAAAGCCGAGGGAGGAAAGGCUGUGAUUUCCACGAGCGAUACUGCAGGACUUCCUAGGCCGCUGCUGUCCGGGCGGGGCAUGCAGGAGACCUAAAGUUCCAGGUGGACAGUGGAGCCCAGGAGGGUGCCUGAGACCCCUGCAAGCGGGUGUAACAUAAAGGCCGACUCCAGUGCACACUUUCAGGGCUUCCUCUAUGCUGACCACCGUUCCAGGGCCAUAAAUGAACUCAACAAGCCUGUGAAGUGGAUGCUGUUCUUGCCCCACAUUUACAGACGAGUGACCUGAAGCACAGAGAGGCUGAGGGAAUGGCCAAGGUCCCACAGCUAGGAAAUGGCAAAACCGGGUCCCCAGAAACAUGUAGGGCUCAGCCUGGGCCUGGAGGUGACGGCAGCGUUUGUCAGUGAGGAGAACCCGGGAAGGAGGUGCAGCUGGAAUUCUACCCUCGGCAUCUGGGGGACUGCAGGGCUUGUUCUCGCUCUCACGAGUGUCCCUGUGCAAGGCAGUAAGAACACAGGUGCUGACUAGGACGCCACCUGGGCCAGCCUCCUGGCUCAGGGACAGCAGGCACCAUCCUGAAUGGCACCGUGGUGAGCCGAGGUGCAGGAGGCCUGGCUGUCGUGGGGCUCUGCACCCUGGGGUGCUGCGGCUGCACUCCGCUGCCUACUCUCUCCCCACUGCAGCCAGCCUGGCAUGGCUGUCAGGAGCCAGCUCUCCUGGUGGGUCAGUCACCCACUGGGCAGAACUGGGACAGUCUCAUUUGUCUCCCAUCUUGCUCCUGACUUCUGAAACAAAUCUGCAGUUUGCUUUUUUUUUUUUUUUUUUUAAAUUACUUCCUGGUCCUGCCUCUGGUCCUGCCCCAUCUCCUGCAGUGCAGGGUCACUGGGGCAGUGCAGGGGCUGAGGAGAAAGGGCCCUGGCACGUGUCUACUGGGCCUCGUCCUUGCUAGGGCCCGUCUGAAGCGGGUGACCCCUGACUAUGCCAGGUUUCUGGAUCACAUCCUGCUCCCUCGAGUUCCCAGGUCCUUGUGUCUCCUAAAAAUAAAGGUGCCACUCACUGGGCGCUUCCUAGGCACCGAGCACCAUGCUGUGGGCUUUAAGGCACAGCCUCAUUUGAUCCUUCUAACAAUCCCAGGUGGAGAGUGAUCCUGCAUCCCCAUUUUUCUAGAUGUGUCCACAGAGGCUCAGAAGGAUGAGACUUGCCCUAGACCACGCACCCAGUAAAGGGCCAGGUAAGACCUGAAUUUUCCCUCUGGACCCCCAGCCUCCUGAUGUCUAUUUUCAGCCAGUUUAAUUUCAGGCAUGGGAAGCCCACCUAAGAGCUUGUUUCGAGUCCAUGUUUGUAUUAACCAUGCCUCACACGCUUUCAGAUGAUACGAAAGUGAGAGGAGGAACUCGUAAGGUGGAUGGCCCAGGAUUAAGGCUGAGCAGAUUUCAGGAGGAAGGAAAGGAAGGCCAGUCUGAACGAGGUGGUAUCCGUGGGGGUGACUGUGAGAUCCUGCAGGUGUAUUCGAAAUCGCCAUUGCACAAGGGCAGGAUGGGGAAAUGGUUACGGGCUUUAGUGGACUGCCAGCCUGAUGCCAAUCUGUGUACCUGAUGCUGAUAAAGCCAGUGCACCCAUCGGCUAUAUAAACAGGAGCAUCAUGACCAACACAGGGGAGGUGGUACAUCCCUGACCACCUCACCGAUUGCUGUGUUUGAAUCCAGAUGCCGUAUGUUAAGAAUAAUACUGGCAAACACAAGGCUACCUGGAUGAGGGCAGCAAGAGAGGGGGCAGAGGUUAGUUAGGAGGUGGUGGGGGCAGGGUCUAUGGGAAUGAUGUCAUAUUAAAAUAAAAAAAGAGGUGGUGUGGUAUGGGUGGUAGUAAACACAGGCAUAUUUGACUCAUUAUAUAUAGCAUCUGAAGACUAAAAUAUGGUAAAUAAUGAACAUAUGUUAAAUAAAUAAAAUGACAUAUAUGAUUUAUGGAAGCUCUAGAUAAAUGUAUGUAGCAGAAAUUUAGCUAGCAUUUCAGUAAGUAUUUGAGUUUUUAAAAAGAAUAAUGAAAGGUACUAGGAUGUCUAGUCCAAAUGGAAAGAUGUACUUAGUCGCAUUAUAUGAAGCCCAAUAAAUAUGCUCAGGGCCCACACGCUGCUAAGAAUCUGGAAGACAGAUUUGGAGAGGGGCGGAAGGCAGCUGUAGGCUAGAUACAAGAAAGGACUUCCUAAUGAUGAGUGUGGUCAUGUAAGGAAUGAAGUGCAGGAGGAGGAGGGGUUCCCUGUUCCUUAGGGGGUGUCUGUGGAAGCUGGAAGAGCUUAGUUGGCAUCCAGGGGCUCCCUGCAGUCAGGGAGAGGAGUUUUCUGUGCACUCAGUUGGUGAGUCCAUGAGACAUAGCUGUGCUGUGUUGAUAAGGCAUGCUCCAACCAGAAGUGCCGAAAGCUCCAGAGCGCCCUAAUCUUGGGUUGAAGUUGGGUUUGCAUCAUCAUCGACUGUUUUCCAAGGGCUUGGCCUGUGGAGGCUCUGAUGGGGACUUGAAAGAGUUCGCUUCCCACCUGCUUGCGGCUGACAUUCCUCUUCCUGGUUGUCAGUGUUUGUUCUGGCCACGAGCCCCUCUAGAGCUCAGACACCGGGAUUGAACUCUGGUACUCACAUGUGGCUGUGAGCAGUGGGGAGGCAGGGCCUUGAGGGAUACCCUGAAGGCUCCUGUCCAUGGGGCUAGGGAUGGCAGGAGGGGGAUGAGAUGUCCCGAGAAUCUCUGAGUCCAGCCUGUGAGUGAUGCCAUGUCUCGCUCUAGCCUUUAGG